AUGCAUUCAAAUGUAGUCUCCGUUAAUCAUCCUAACCAAGAUCGAUUAUUGGAUUACAAAAAUUAUUUUUAUUUCGAGUUUUAUUCUCAGGUUCUAUCUGAAGGGUUUGCGAUCGUUGUGGAAAUCCCAUUCUCGCUGCGGGAAUUAUCUUGUUCGGAAGAAAAGGAAAUUACCAAAGUUUCAGAAUUUAUGCUCUAUUCAUUCAAUAUUUCCCUUUUUAGAAGAUAG
rnacentral:rRNA from 1 species